CCUACGGGGGGCAGCAGUGGGGAAUAUUGGACAAUGGGGGCAACCCUGAUCCAGCCAUGCCGCGUGUGUGAAGAAGGCCCUCGGGUUGUAAAGCACUUUCAGUGAGGAAGAACGCCUGGUGGUUAAUACCCAUCAGGAAAGACAUCACUCACAGAAGAAGCACCGGCUAACUCCGUGCCAGCAGCCGCGGUAAUACGGAGGGUGCGAGCGUUAAUCGGAAUUACUGUGCGUAAAGCGCGCGUAGGUGGCUUGAUAAGCCGGUUGUGAAAGCCCCGGGCUCAACCUGGGAACGGCAUCCGGAACUGUCAAGCUAGAGUGCAGGAGAGGAAGGUAGAAUUCCCGGUGUAGCGGUGAAAUGCGUAGAGAUCGGGAGGAAUACCAGUGGCGAAGGCGGCCUUCUGGACUGACACUGACACUGAGGUGCGAAAGCGUGGGUAGCAAACAGGAUUAGAUACCCUAGUAGUC
rnacentral:rRNA from 1 species